rnacentral:rRNA from 1 species
CCUACGGGUGGCAGCAGUGAGGAAUAUUGGUCAAUGGGCGCGAGCCUGAACCAGCCAAGUAGCGUGAAGGAUGACUGCCCUACGGGUUGUAAACUUCUUGUAUAAAGGAAUAAAGUGAGGCACGUGGGCCGUUUUGUAUGUACUUUAUGAAUAAGGAGCGGCUAACUCCGUGCCAGCAGCCGCGGUAAUACGGAGGAUCCGAGCGUUAUCCGGAUUUAUUGGGGUGAAAGGGAGCGUAGAUGGGUUGUUAAGUCAGUUGGUAAAGUUUGCGUCUCAACCGGAAAAUUGCAAUUGAUACGUGCAGUCUUGCGUACAGUUGCGGUAGGCUGCAUUCGUUUUGUAGCGG